rnacentral:rRNA from 1 species
UAACAAGGAUUCCCUUAGUAACGGCGAGUGAAGCGGGAAUAGCUCAAAUUUGAAAGCUGGCAGCAAUGUCCGCGUUGUAAUCUCGAGAAGUGUUUUCCGUGCUGGACCAUAGAUAUGUUCCUUGGAAUAGGAUGUCAAAGAGGGUGAGAAUCCCGUACAUGCUAUGGACGCCCAGUGCUUUGUGAUACACUUUCGAAGAGUCGAGUUGUUUGGGAAUGCAGCUCAAAAUGGGUGGUAAAUUCCAUCUAAAGCUAAAUAUUGGGGAGAGACCGAUAGCAAACAAGUACCGUGAGGGAAAGAUGAAAAGCACUUUGGAAAGAGAGUUAAACAGUACGUGAAAUUGUCAAAAGGGAAGCGCUUCAAGUCAGAUAUGGCUUUGAAUGUUCAGCCUUUAGGUGUAUUCAUUUUUUGUCAGGCCAGCAUCGAUUUUGAACGUCGGAUAAGGGUAGAAGGAAUGUAGCAUACUUUCGGGUAUGUGUUAUAGCCUUUUACUGGAUACGACGAUCGGGAUCGAGGUUCGCAGCACACCCUUUUUUGGGCAGGUCUUCGGACACUUUUGUGCUUAGGAUGCUGGCGUAAUGGCUUGAAGCGACCCGUCUUGA